UACGGGGGGGGCAAGCGUUGUUCGGAAUUACUGGGCGUAAAGGGCUCGUAGGUGGCCAACUAAGUCAGACGUGAAAUCCCUCAGCUUAACUGGGGAACUGCGUCUGAGACUGGCAAGCUUGAGUGCAGGAGAGGAAUGCGGAAUUCCAGGUGUAGCGGUGAAAUGCGUAGAUAUCUGGAGGAACACCGGUGGCGAAGGCGGCGUUCUGGACUGCAACUGACACUGAGGAACGAAAGCCAGGGGAGCAAACGGG
rnacentral:rRNA from 1 species